UCCGAUGUGGUCUAGUGGCUAGGAUUUCUCGCUCUCAUGGUCGUCAGACCUAAAGUGCCGAGGAGGCCGGGGUUCGAUUCCCCGCAUCGGAA